UCAUCUCAGGACCUCCUUUCUGCUCCUAAUUGGGGAGAACAACACUGGUUUAUGUGACACUUUGCUUCCAGAUGAAGGGAUCAUAACAGGACGUGGACUUUUGUCCAGGUGUGUGUGGAGGAGGAGGACGUGUUGCAGCUGCAGUGUUUCCAUAACAAAGCUGGAACAGAAGCUCAUGCAGCCGAACUAAAAUGACAUCAUGCAGAAGUGAAAUCAUGUUGAAUACGUAUACCCACAAGGCCCUGCAGGAGAACCAGGGAGCAACGGCUGGAGGGGUAUCUGCUCAACAGAAGGAUGAGAUAUUUAUCAGAUGAAGGCGAUGGCCAAGCAGGUCUUGUGGUCGGUCGGUCAGAUGGUCGGCUCAACACGUUCAGACUUUGAAUGAAGCGUGAAAACGUUGCUGAUCCCCUGACUUUCCAUCUCGCGACACCAUCAGGUAAAACAUGUAGUGAUGUGUUAGCAUGCUGAUGUUGGCCUGGAGCUCAAAGGCCUCACAGAGCU